UUCCAGCUCCAAUAGCGUAUAUUAAAGUUGUUGCGGUUAAAAAGCUCGUAGUUGAAUUUGUGUCUCGCACUGUCGGUUCACCGCCCGCGGUGCUAACUGGCAUGUUUGCGAGACGUCCUGCCGGUGGAUGGUACGUAAUUAUGUUUAUUUUCUCCCUUCGGGGGUACGGAAUAUUCAUUUUUACUCAUCCGACUUUUUAAAUCCUGUCGCGGUGCUCUUAACUGAGUGUCGAGGCGGGCCGGCACGUUUACUUUGAACAAAUUAGAGUGCUCAAAGCAGGCUAAUUAAUGCCUGAAUAAUUAGUGCAUGGAAUAAUGGAACAGGACCUUGGUUCUAUUUUGUUGGUUUUCGGAACCCCAAGGUAAUGAUUAAUAGGGACAGAUGG
rnacentral:rRNA from 1 species